GUUUGUGUGGCGCCUUUUGCGGGGAGGACAGCCGCUCUCACUUUGCGACACUUGUUUACAAGGUCGCGUAAGAUUGUCAUUUAUCGUCCCAAAUGACCUCCCGUGUCCCGGUGCCGUUAGAAUCACGCGGUCAGCUCGAGAUGAACGUGGUUCGUUUGUGAACCGUGAUGAGGAUAAGAGCCUGGUUUCAUAACCUUCGUAAGGACGCAGGGGAGCCAGCACUGCGUCACGUGGAACUGGAUGUCCUCAUUCCGAAGCUAAUGAGAGAGAAGGCCAGGGAGCGCUGUGCAGAUAAGGUGGAAGCCUUUAGCCACUGCUGUAAGGAGAGUGGUUUCCUGAUGGUGGUUAAGUGUCAGGAGCAGAACGCAGCGCUCAAGGAGUGCCUGUCUACGCACUACAAGGAUCCAGGAUUUCAAGAAGAGUGCAAACAGCAAUAUGUAAAAGAGAAGGAGGAGUUUCAGAAGACUGGCAUCCCAGCAAAGAACAGGAAACAGAAACUGCCCACCAGCAUGUAGUGCCAGGAGGCGGGGUCACCCACGGGAACGCCACCCCUCCCAGUCCAGCUCAGAGAUGGAGAUGGUCGCCUGUACCUGCUGACGCUUUGGAGUUUUUGCUGGGGAUUCCCGAAAAUCUGUUUUUCAAGCUUCAGUUUGGUGCCCAGUUCAUAGAGUUUUUGUUAGGCUUCUGUGAGAAGAGACGGUGAAAUUGGCCAUUAUUACGGCGAAUCAUUGCAUUUCCAUCAGUAAUUUCAGAGAAUGGCAAGGCAUAGGUUAGCAAAAAGAGUAAGAAAAAUCUUUUAUUUUUGUGGAAAAUAAAAUGUCACAUUUCUGUGCAAAGAA